rnacentral:rRNA from 1 species
UCUGGUUGAUUCUGCCAGACCUGACUGCUAUCGGGAUACGACUUAGCCAUGCAAGUUGAAUGGUUCUCGCAACCAUGGCGCACUGCUCAGUAACACGUAGAUAACCUACCCUAGGGUUGGGGAUAAUCCCGGGAAACUGGGCAUAAUCCCCAAUAGAUAAGCUGUACUGGAAUGUCUUCUUAUUCAAACCUCCGGGGCCCUAGGAUGGGUCUGCGGCGGAUUAUGGUAGUAGGUGGGGUAACGGCCCCCCUAGCCUUUGAUCCGUACCGGACAUGAAAGUGUGAGCCGGGAGAUGGCCACUGAGACAAUGGGCCAGGCCCCACGGGGUGCAGCAGGCGCGAAAACUCUACAAUGCCCGAAAGGGUGAUAGGGGAAUCCCGAGUGCUUCCUUAGCCGGAAGCUUUUCUCGAGCGUAAUGUUCUCGAGGAAUAAGGGGAGGGCAAGGCUGGUGCCAGCCGCCGCGGUAAAACCAGCUCCCCGAGUGGUCAGGAUGAUUAUUGGGCCUAAAGCGUCCGUAGCCGGUUGUGUUAGUCGUUGGUGAAAGGUCGGGUCUUAAGCCCGAAUUUGCUAGCGAUACUGCGCGACUCGGGACCGGAAGAGGCAAAUGGUACGUUGAGGGUAGGGGUGAAAUCCUGUAAUCCCCAACGGACCACCGGUGGCGAAGGCGAUUUGCUGGGACGGAUCUGACGGUGAGGGACGAAACCCAGGGGAGCGAGCGGGAUUAGAUACCCCGGUAGUCCUGGGUGUAAACGAUGCGCACUAGGUGUUGGCGAAGCUACGAGCUCCGCCGGUGCCGAAGCGAAGGCGUUAAGUGCGCCGCCUGGGGAGUACGGUCGCAAGACUGAAACUUAAAGAAAUUGACGGGGGAGCACCACCAGGGGAGGAGCCUGCGGUUCAAUUGGACUCAACGCACGAACCGUACGUUCCAGAUGUGACAAGGGUUCCUGCGGGUCAAACGCCGGAAAACUUACCGGAGUCGACAGCAUGAUGAUGGCCAGGCUGAAGACCUUGCUUGAAGCGCUGAGAGGAGGUGCAUGGCCGUCGCCAGCUCGUACCGUGAGGCGUCCUCUUAAGUGAGGCAACGAGCGAGACCUUCAUCCACAGUUGCCAGCACAAGAUGGUAUCUUGGUGGGCACACUGCGGAGACCGCCCGCGAAAAGUGGGAGGAAGGUGAAGGCCACGGCAGGUCAGUAUGCCCCGAAAGCUCCGGGCCACACGCGGGCUACAAUGGCUGGGACAGAAGGCCCCAACCUUGAAAGAGGAAGGAAAUCCUUAAACCCAGUCUCAGUUGGGAUUGAGGGCUGCAACCCGCCCUCAUGAACGUGGAUUCCCUAGUAAUCGCGUGUCAUCUAUCGCGCGAUGAAUACGUCCCUGCUCCUUGUACACACCGCCCGUCGUUGCACUCGAGUUGGGUUUGCCUGAGGCUGCAUUUUCCUUCGGGAAGGCGUAGACGAAGGUGAGUUCGAUAAGAGGGCAAAAGUCGUAACAAGGUA